AUAAAGAGGCUUAUGACAGUAAGUUUUCUUUUUGUUGGCAAAUGUGCCACUCAUAUGUUUUAGUUUUACCUUGAUCUUCAAUAUUAUCAUAGCUGCCGAAUGCUUAUUCACCCCUAUAUUCCAUAAAUAUGUUUAUCUUGAUCUACCAACUGAGAGGUUUCGAGUGUCAGAGCUAUUUCCUGGAAGUUAAUUAUUAUACUUUGGUUUGCUGCCUUGUAUGUGAUAAACAAUUUAAGAUGGGAGUGGGAUACCCUUACCAAGUGAAGAUUUAUAAUUGCUAGUAAUAAAGUGGCAUCAAUGUUAAAGAUGCCCUUUCUUUCAUAUAUGCAUAUCAUGCCUAUAAAGAAAUAUUGUAGCUUAUUAUUCAGUAAUAAUGUAUGUAGUAGUAGCUUGUCUAAGUGUAACAUGAUAUAGUUUUCUGCUUCAAUGCCAAUAAACUAGAAACCCCUGAACUGUAUAUUUGUUUGUUAGAAACUAACAAAAGUUUCUGCAUGAAAGAGCUUUAGGAAUAUGUUCAUUUUCAUGUUUCUAGUGUUGGCUCAAUAUUAAUAUAAUUUUUUCCAAUCGUGAUGCUUAUCGAAGCAAUGUCAGUAUGCUUUUUCUUCCUUCAACUAUGGUUCCCUAAAUCUUAUUGUGUUCUAGAAUCUAGAUACUUAUUAAGAGUUGAUUAUUGAGA
rnacentral:misc_RNA from 1 species